UACGAAGGGUGCGAGCGUUAUUCGGAAUCACUGGGCGUAAAGGGUGCGUAGACGGUGUGUUAAGUUUGUCGUUAAAGACUCUAGCCUAACUGGAGGGUUGCGAUGAAGACUAGCAUGCUAGAGGGUGAGAGAGAGAAGUGGAAUUCCCGGAGUAGCGGUAAAAUGCGUGGAUCUCGGGAGGAACACCAAUGGCGAAGGCAGCUUCUUGGCUCAUUCCUGACGUUGAGGCACGAAAGCGUGGGGAGCGAACAGG
rnacentral:rRNA from 1 species